rnacentral:tRNA from 1 species
GUGAUUGUAGCUCAGUUGGUAGAGCACCUGGUUGUGGUCCAGGGGGUCGCGGGUUCGAGUCCCGUCAGUCACCCCA